CUAGAAGAUAUUUCAAAAAGAAAAAGAAGUGAUAGAAGUUGAUACAGAGGGUAGGGUUUGGUGUGAAAUCUUCUUGCUUGAGAGCUGAAGGUAUUGAGUUUCCCUUGAUCAUGGAGUGUGGGGAGAUCGACAGUUAUUUGCGAUGGAGAAUGCGAGUCUCUUCUCUCAGUUGCCCAAGCAAUAAAAGAAAUCAAGGUGUGAUCUCUUGUGAUGAUUCUAUAUUUAUUGUACUUCUCUCUUAUGGAGAACAUAUUUCUUUACCAUGAAUUGGAGAGUAGUUUUAAUUCUUUUCAAUUCGUUUGUGCAAUCUCCGACAUGGUUUAUGGGACCAUGAUCGAUGACAAGACUGUGUUGAUUUCAGAAUCUACGAAGGAAAUCAUCCCAAACAUUUUGUUUGGAAACAACGGCCAUGAAAACAACCAUAUGUCAAACUAGUCGAGUUCGCCCUAGCCAUCGACAAACUUUUUUUCCGGUUUGCCUCUCCGGCGUCCGGCUUUUGCCGGCGCUGUGAGAGGUGUCUCUCCCCUGCCUUUGUUAACAGUUCUUCAACCGUGGAAGAGAAAUCUAGAUUGGUGUGAGUUGAGGCGGUACUUGAUGAGAUCUGAGCCUUUGGUUGGCAAUGGAGUUGUUGUGAGCUGAAGCCGUGGGGGUGGUAGAGUGGAGUGUGGGAUCGAGGUUUGCUUGUUGACUGUUGUCUCCUUUGUGACAUGUUCCGCUUAGGAACUGUGUUUCUUUGAGUGGUGGUUUUUAUUGGUGGUUUAUCAAUGGUUACCGGCUCUGUAUUGAAAAGGAUCCUGUUUGUGGUGCUUCGUUUGGCAUGUCUAGUGUGGAGUCGCAUCGGAGCGCGCGGAUAGACCAUUCACGUCAGAGGCGGUGGCCGCCGGAGAAGUGGUGCUUUGUUAGGCAUGUCCGUGGUGUGGAGUCGCAUCGGUGACAUAUGGAGAGCCCAUUCACAGUCCAAUGGUGUGUCUUGUUUGGAUAUGGAGACAGCUCUACAGCUACGGAUAUUUAUUGCAAGGGCCAGCAAAUUAUGAAUCCAAAUUUUGGGUCAUAGUUGUUUUUGAAUUGAUUGAACAAUUCUAAGUUCUCAUAGUUUCAAUAGAUUGGAAGCUUUUUAAUGAGACAUAGAUCCUCAAUUCUUGGCUUGUUUAUGGGAAAUCUUCAAGGUUCAUCGUGAGAAUAAACUCUCUGGUCGUUGGACCAUUCAUUUGCGAUGAAGAAUCAAGCUGCUAUGGUAAUCAUGGAUAAUGUUAUACGUGAUCUAAUAGUGCAGUUUUACAAAGCUGAGAAUGCAUACAUCUCAUGGUUACGUCACCCUUGGAUGAAGAAGCCAGGGUUGCUGAAAAGAUGAUGGAAGUUGGUCUGAAAUAACCAUGUUUGUUGGUUAGAUCUACCUUCUUUUUUGCUUUGUUUUAUGUUCUUGUUAAGCUUAUUUAUACCACCUACUGGUGGGUGUAUGUGCUGAUCCUAGAACUUUGUUUCUGUACCAAUUUCAAUAAAUUAGUGUUAAAAAAAAAAAACAACAACCAUAUGGUAUGUUAUUAUCAUGGAGAUGAAAGUUUCUAGUGGA